GAUGAACGCUGACAGAAUGCUUAACACAUGCAAGUCUUUGGCGAAGCUGUGCUCGCACAGCCUAGCCAAGGCGGACGGGUGAGUAACGCGUAAGGAACUUGCCCUGCAGUCAGGGAUAACAGACGGAAACGACUGAUAAGACCUGGUAAAGUCAGGCGGACUCAUGUCCAGCCUGAUGAAAAGAGAUGCUGCAGGAGAGCCUUGCGUCCUAUUAGCUUGUUGGUGGGGUAACGGCCCACCAAGGCGAUGAUAGGUAGCCGGCCUGAGAGGGUGGACGGCCACAAGGGGACUGAGAUACGGCCCUUACUCCUACGGGAGGCAGCAGUGGGGAAUAGUGGACAAUGGGGGCAACCCUGAUCCAGCAAUUCUGUGUGCACGAUGAAGGUUUUCGGAUUGUAAAGUGCUUUCAGCAGGGAAGAAAAAAAUGACGGUACCUGCAGAAGAAGCGACGGCUAAAUACGUG
rnacentral:rRNA from 1 species